rnacentral:ncRNA from 1 species
CGGUGAGCCGUGCCACGGAAUCGGGUGCUCCAAGUGGGCCAUUUUUGGUAAGCAGAACUGGCGAUGCGGGAUGAACCGGAAGCCGGGUUACGGUGCCCAACUGCGCGCAUACCUAGAACCCACAAAGGGUGUUGGUCGAUUAAGACAGCAGGACGGUGGUCAUGGAAGUCGAAAUCCGCUAAGGAGUGUGUAACAACUCACCUGCCGAAUCAACUAG